rnacentral:rRNA from 1 species
AGUGGCGGACGGGUGAGUAAUGCAUAGGAAUCUGCCUUGUAGUGGGGGAUAACGUGGGGAAACUCACGCUAAUACCGCAUACGACCUACGGGUGAAAGGGGGGGCUCUUCGGACCUCUCGCUAUAAGAUGAGCCUAUGUUGGAUUAGCUAGUUGGUAGGGUAAAGGCCUACCAAGGCGACGAUCCAUAGCUGGUCUGAGAGGAUGAUCAGCCACACUGGGACUGAGACACGGCCCAGACUCCUACAGGAGGCAGCAGUGGGGAAUAUUGGACAAUGGGCGGAAGCCUGAUCCAGCAAUACCGCGUGUGUGAAGAAGGCCUGAGGGUUGUAAAGCACUUUCAAUGGGAAGGAAUACCUAACGGCGAAUACCCGUUAGACUGACAUUACCCAUACAAGAAGCACCGGCUAACUCCGUGCCAGCAGCCGCGGUAAUACGGAGGGUGCAAGCGUUAAUCGGAAUUACUGGGCGUAAAGCGUGCGUAGGCGGUUCGUUAAGUCAGAUGUGAAAGCCCUGGGCUCAACCUGGGAACUGCAUUUGAUACUGGCGAACUAGAGUUGAGUAGAGGAGAGUGGAAUUUCAGGUGUAGCGGUGAAAUGCGUAGAGAUCUGAAGGAACACCAGUGGCGAAGGCGGCUCACUGGACUCAAACUGACGCUGAGGUACGAAAGCGUGGGUAGCAAACAGGAUUAGAUACCCUGGUAGUCCACGCCGUAAACGAUGUCAACUAACCGUUGGGUUCUUAAAGAACUUAGUGGUGGAGCUAACGUAUUAAGUUGACCGCCUGGGGAGUACGGCCGCAAGGCUAAAACUCAAAUGAAUUGACGGGGGCCCGCACAAGCGGUGGAGCAUGUGGUUUAAUUCGAUGCAACGCGAAGAACCUUACCUACCCUUGACAU